AUUCUUGGUAAAUUCUAAACUUCAACUUCUGUUUUAAGGAAACACAAAUUCAUCCAGUGUUACAAAUUCUGCAGCAGGUGUUGAAGAUCUUAACAUCGUUCAAGUGACUGUUCCAGAUAAUGAGAAGGAAAGAUUAUCAAGCAUUGAAAAGAUUAAACAGCUAAGAGAACAAGUUAAUGACCUCUUUAGCCGAAAAUUUGGUAAGUUUUUAUAUCUUUUUAUAUCCAGAAUUCAUAUACCUAAAAUACUUCUUUUUAAAAGAAUACUUGGCCAGGUGCAUUGGCUCAUACCUGUAAUCCUAGCACUUUAGGAGGCUAAGGCUAGAGAAUCACUUGAGCCCAGGAGUUUGAGACCAGCCUGGGCAGCAAAGUGACACCCCAGGUCUACAAAAGGAAAA
rnacentral:lncRNA from 10 species